rnacentral:sRNA from 1 species
UAUUGUAUUUUAAAGCGAUGGUAGCAA